CCUACGGGGUGCACCAGUGGGGAAUAUUGCACAAUGGGCGCAAGCCUGAUGCAGCCAUGCCGCGUGUAUGAAGAAGGCCUUCGGGUUGUAAAGUACUUUCAGCGGGGAGGAAGGCGAUAAGGUUAAUAGCCUUGUCGAUUGACGUUACCCGCAGAAGAAGCACCGGCUAACUCCGUGCCAGCAGCCGCGGUAAUACGGAGGGUGCAAGCGUUAAUCGGAAUUACUGGGCGUAAAGCGCACGCAGGCGGUCUGUCAAGUCGGAUGUGAAAUCCCCGGGCUCAACCUGGGAACUGCAUUCGAAACUGGCAGGCUAGAGUCUUGUAGAGGGGGGUAGAAUUCCAGGUGUAGCGGUGAAAUGCGUAGAGAUCUGGAGGGAUACCGGUGGCGAAGGCGGUCCCCUGGACAAAGACUGACGCUCAGGUGCGAAAGCGUAGGGAGCAAACAGGAUUAGAUACCCCGGUAGUC
rnacentral:rRNA from 1 species